rnacentral:rRNA from 1 species
UACGGAGGGAGCUAGCGUUGUUCGGAAUUACUGGGCGUAAAGCGCGUGUAGGCUGCUCCGCAAGUCGGAUGUGAAAGCCCUGGGCUCAACCUAGGAAGUGCAUUCGAUACUGCGGAGCUGGAGUCCUGGAGAGGAAGGCGGAAUUCUCGGUGUAGAGGUGAAAUUCGUAGAUAUCGAGAGGAACACCGGUGGCGAAGGCGGCCUUCUGGACAGUGACUGACGCUGAGACGCGAAAGCGUGGGGAGCAAACAGG